rnacentral:rRNA from 1 species
AGAGUUUGAUCCUGGCUCAGGAUGAACGCUAGCGGCAGGCUUAAUACAUGCAAGUCGAGGGGCAGCACGGUUAGCAAUAACUGGUGGCGACCGGCGCACGGGUGCGUAACACGUAUACAAUCUACCUUAAACAGGGGGAUAGCCUUUCGAAAGAGAGAUUAAUACCCCGUAAUAAAUUGAACGGCAUCGUUUGAUUUUGAAAGCUCCGGCGGUUUGAGAUGAGUAUGCGUCUGAUUAGCUAGUUGGUGAGGUAACGGCUCACCAAGGCGACGAUCAGUAGGGGAUCUGAGAGGAUAACCCCCACACUGGUACUGAGACACGGACCAGACUCCUACGGGAGGCAGCAGUAAGGAAUAUUGGUCAAUGGAGGCAACUCUGAACCAGCCAUGCCGCGUGCAGGAUGACGGCCCUAUGGGUUGUAAACUGCUUUAUACAAGAGAAAACCCUGGUACGUGUACCAGGUUGAUAGUAUUGUAAGAAUAAGCAUCGGCUAACUUCGUG